rnacentral:tRNA from 1 species
AGGCCCAUAGUGUUAAUGGUAGCACGUCGGUCUCCAAAACCGAAAGUAGGGGUUCAAAUCCUCUUGGGCCUGCCA